rnacentral:rRNA from 1 species
AAAGUGGAUUGUACUAGAAGUCCUAAUCGAAACAGGCCCAAGGUGUGAGUUCAUGAUUGGGGUG